AGCAAAAUAUGUUAUGGAGGUCUUGCAAACUAAAUCAUGUUCUUGGUCAUGGUGCAUGAACCUGAAGACAUUAGACUAUUUUUUUUUGAACUAGGUUACUUCGAAAGGGCAUUUGACUAUUAUGGGAGAGCUUCACAGAGAACAAGAUUUUCAAUGUAAGAAAUGGCACAUGGAACUUGUUUCCUGCUUGAUGCUUCGAUAGAACACUAAUCAUAGAAGCAAUCCCUACUAGUUACAGAAAUGCAGUUGAUUAGAGAAGCUAUAGCAUAUGACAGACUGACACCGAGAUGGACGUGGAACUCAGUAGCAACUUCAAUGAUUGGAAGGUGGAGGCUAUGUGCCAACUGUUACAGCUAUUUGCUAGCUUCAUAACCGUGCGUACAAGCCCUGACACUUACCAUGGUAUGGCUGUGUAAUGAGAAAUUCUUUGUUAAAACUUUUUAUAAAAUCCCAUGCAGAGUAAAAAUGCAGCAAUCUGGGUGGCCAUGAAAAUAUUCAAGAGUU
rnacentral:lncRNA from 1 species